rnacentral:rRNA from 1 species
CCUACGGGAGUCAGCAGUAAGGAAUCUUCCACAAUGGACGAAAGUCUGAUGGAGCAACGCCGCGUGCAGGAUGAAGGCUUUCGGGUCGUAAACUGCUUUUAUAUGGGAAGAUUAUGACGGUACCAUAUGAAUAAGGACCGGCUAACUACGUGCCAGCAGCCGCGGUAAUACGUAGGGUCCAAGCGAUAUCCGGAAUUACUGGGCGUAAAGCGUGUGUAGGUGGAUUAAUAAGUGUGAUGCGAAAUCCGGCGGCUCAACCGUUUGGACUGUGUCGCAUACUGUUAGUCUAGAGGACGGCAGAGGUAAGUGGAAUUACGGGUGUAGCAGUGAAAUGCGUAGAUAUCCGUAGGAACACCAAUGGCGAAGGCAGCUUACUGGGCCACACCUGACACUGAGACACGAAAGCGUGGGGAGCGAACAGGAUUAGAUACCCUGGUAGUCCACGCCGUAAACGAUGCAUACUAUUAGUAUGGGGUAUCGACCCCCUGUGCUGAGAAGCUAACGCGAUAAGUAUGCCGCCUGGGGAGUACGAGCGCAAGCUUAAAACUCAAAGGAAUUGACGGCUGAGACGNGCGAGACGACGACGAGGAGAGG